CACAGAAAAAGAAACAGCAGUAUAUGUGGAAGAAAGCAAGAAAAAUCAACUGGCCUGGAACCUAAGACUUGUCCAAAGAUGUCACAGAGAGUAAAAUGAGAAAAAUCCAGUAGCCCGUGCCCAGAGCAGUUCCUCGUACCCAGCAGAAGGCUAACAAGCCCUGAGAUGAAUGAUGCUCUUCCCAAGGAAGGCAGAGGAGGCGACAGUCCAUUUGCGUUCUCUCCUCUGCAAGUACAGGAUCUCGUUUGAUUCUCAAAACCACCCUAGAGGAGACAGGAGGCACCUGAGGCCCAGAGACGUGAAGCCACCUGUCCAAGGCCAUACAGCAGAUAACUUAUUCUGGAGGAAGACACCUGCCAUGCCGUGAGGACAGUCAAGCAGUUCUGUGGAGAGAUCCAUGUGGUGAGAAACAGGGGCCUCCUGUCAACAGGAAGAACAACCUGGCAGGCCUGUCUUGGAUUCAGAGCCUCCAGCCCCAGUCGAGCCUUCAGAUAACUGCACCCUUGGCUGUCAUCUCAACUGCAAUCUCACGACAGACCCUGAGCUGGAACUACUCUGUUUACCAAUGCCUGGCCCACAGAAAGACUAUGAGAUAAAACAAGUAUAUUGUUUUUAGAAGAUAUGUUUUGGAGUAAUUUAUUAUGCUACAAUAGAUAAUACAGAAUUUGGUGAUUUUAUGAUUCUCAACUCCUGGCCAAAGCAAAGCACACAACAAGUCUCAAAGAAAAGUCUCACAAGUGGAAUUGAAAGUACAAAGCUGGCCAGACAAGCUUGUGCAGACAUGUAUGUGGUGGAGUUGAAAAUCACACACUACGACUCACACAAGUGAGUAAAACCUGCGUCUUUCUUAAUUUUUCUUGUACUCUUCUCAUCUAGAUCUAAUGAGAUACUUCCUGCUGUUGACAGGCAAUAAAUGAAUGAACGACAAAAACAAAACAAAAA
rnacentral:lncRNA from 1 species